CUCAGAACAAUUUCUGGGUCACAAGCCGCAGGAGUUGAGGAGUUGAGGAGUCGAGGAGGUACACAUUUAGGAAAUGGGAUAGGCCCAAAGUCUAGUUUACAUU